UCUAAAAAGGACAAUAUCUGAAGAUACUAGAGCUCUUGGUGAUAUUGUAUUGUACCCACAUUAAUGGUAAAUGUCCAGCAGGUGGAGAUAUUGCUCCAUUUCCAGAACCUUGAGUACAGGCUACUGUGGGGCAUGAGAUGAUCCCGUUGCACAGUUGUACAUGAUGA